rnacentral:lncRNA from 1 species
GGAGGAGAAAGAAAAAGCAGAUGCAGUAUGUAUGCAAUAAGAACAUUAGAGAGGGAGUAGCUAGUUAGGGGAAACAUAAUUCUUGUCUUGUAUGAAUGGUAGGCACGAGGAAAUAGUAUGCCGCGACAGGGGAAAACGUCUUGCGGUUCCUCUUUCUAGCGGUAUAAUGCUUGUUGAGUAGCUGAGGGUUGAUGGGUUUGUAGGGAUAUAGACGCUAGAGGACUGGGAGAAACUCAAAGUGUUCACGGCAGCAAAUGGGAGCAUCCCGGUCACAAAAGCCAUAUCCUUGGCUGCCUCAAGGGGCAGAUCCUGCUACAGAUUAGCAUAUCAAACGAUGGAUCGGUCAUCGGCUCUGUUCCAGCCACAUCAUAACCUGACAGAAUGGUACCUGACAUCAAUAGGAGCCCUCUCUCUAGAACAUAA